rnacentral:pre_miRNA from 1 species
UGCUCAGUAGUCAGUGUAGAUCCUGUCUCCAUUCAGCAGCUACAUCUGGCUACUGGGUCUC